rnacentral:tRNA from 1 species
GUUGCCACAACCUAGUGGUUAAGGCGAUAGACUAGAAAUCUUUUGGGAUAUUCCCGCGCAAGUUCGAAUCUGCCGACGACG